AACGAACGCUGGCGGCAGGCUUAACACAUGCGAGUCGAGCGCAUCCUUCGGGGUGAGCGGCCGACGGGUGAGUAACGCGUGGGAAUCUACCUUUUGCUACGGCAUAGCUCCGGGAAACUGGAAUUAAUACCGAAUGUGCCCUUAUGCGGGAAGAUUUAUCGGCAAGAGAUGAGCCCGCGUUGGAUUAGCUAGUUGGUUGGGUAAAGGCUUACCAAGGCGACGAUGCAUAGCUGGUCUGAGAGGGUGCUCAGCCACAUUGGGACUGAGACUCGGCCCAAACUCCUACGGGAGGAAGCAGUAGAGACUCUUACGCGAUGGGCGAAAGCCGGACGGUGCAAAACGGCGGGAGGGCUGAAGCACCUAGGACGGGAAAGCGAUGUAAUUAGGAGAGAUGAAAAGCGUAAGUAACGGUGAAGAUCUUGACGGUACCUGAAGAGAAAGCCCCGGCUAACUACGUG
rnacentral:rRNA from 1 species